GUCGGCUGUUUCGAUUUGUGGU
rnacentral:siRNA from 1 species